rnacentral:rRNA from 1 species
UACUGCUAUCGAGAUUCGACUAAGCCAUGCGAGUCGAAUGUUCUUCGUGAACAUGGCGGACUGCUCAGUAACACGUGGAUAACCUGCCCUAAGGAAGGGGAUAACCUCGGGAAACUGAGGAUAAUACCCUAUAGGUUACAGACGCUGGAAUGCCCUGUAACCGAAAGUUCCGGCGCCUUAGGAUGGAUCUGCGGCCGAUUAGGUUGUUGUUGGGGUAACGGCCCAACAAGCCGAUAAUCGGUACGGGUUGUGGGAGCAAGAGCCCGGAGUUGGAUUCUGAGACAUGAAUCCAGGCCCUACGGGGCGCAGCAGGCGCGAAAACUUUACAAUGCGGGAAACCGUGAUAAGGGAACCCCGAGUGCCUGUAUAUGCAGGCUGUCCAGGUGUCUAAAAAACACCUGAAGAAAGGGCCGGGCAAGACCGGUGCCAGCCGCCGCGGUAAUACCGGCGGCUCGAGUGGUGGCCACUUUUAUUGGGCUUAAAGCGUUCGUAGCUGGGUUGUUAAGUCUCUUGGGAAGUCUGACGGCUCAACCGUCAGGCGUCCAAGGGAUACUGGCAAUCUUGGAACCGGGAGAGGUGAGGGGUACUUCGGGGGUAGGAGUGAAAUCCUGUAAUCCUC